rnacentral:rRNA from 1 species
AUGUUGCAGUGUUUCGAAGUUGCUGAAAACAAACACUUGAAGAACAUGUGGCGAACAAGACAUAUGUGGGCUCCAGCGUACUUCAAGAACAAUUUCUUCCCGUUCGAAAGCACAACAGGCAGGUCCGAGGGGCUCAACUCAUAUUUCAAGACAAUGAUUCGUCCAGCUGAUUUUGUAUGGAGGUUUGUGCAACAGUACAAACUGUGCCAAGAAACUGUGCUUGAUCGUGAGGACAAUGCUGGCUUCACUGGUGAAACGACUGCUCCUCCACUAUACUCUCGAUACAACAUUGAGCGCCAAGCUGCUGAUUAG